UACGGCUGGGACACCGCUGGGCUGUCCGCUGACCCCGAGACCUUCGCCAAGAACCGCGAGUUGGAGGUCAUCCACUCCCGCUGGGCCAUGCUCGGCGCGCUCGGCUGCGUCUUCCCCGAGCUGCUCGCCCGCAACGGCGUCAAGUUCGGCGAGGCCGUCUGGUUCAAGGCCGGCUCCCAGAUCUUUAGCGAGGGCGGCCUCGACUACCUCGGCAACCCCAGCCUUAUCCAUGCGCAGAGCAUCCUCGCCAUCUGGGCCUGCCAGGUCGUGCUCAUGGGCGCCGUCGAGGGCUACCGCAUUGCCGGCGGCCCACUCGGCGAGGUCGUCGACCCGCUCUACCCCGGCGGCAGCUUCGACCCCCUCGGCCUGGCCGACGACCCUGAGGCCUUCGCCGAGCUCAAGGUCAAGGAGCUCAAGAAUGGCCGCCUCGCCAUGUUCUCCAUGUUCGGAUUCUUCGUCCAGGCCAUCGUCACCGGCAAGGGCCCGCUCGAGAACCUGGCCGACCACCUCGCCGACCCAGUCAACAACAACGCCUGGGCCUACGCCACCAACUUCGUCCCCGGCAACUAAGC
rnacentral:lncRNA from 1 species